rnacentral:rRNA from 1 species
UUUGAGAGUUUGAUCCUGGCUCAGGAUGAACGCUGGCGGCGUGCCUAAUACAUGCAAGUCGAACGGGGGUAGCAAUACCCUAGUGGCGAACGGGUGAGUAACACGUAGGUAACCUGCCUUUUAGAUUGGGAUACCCGAAGGAAACUUUGGCUAAUACCGGAUAAUAACAACCGAGGCAUCUCGGAUGUUUGAAAGGGGCCUUUAAAGCCCCACUAAAAGAUGGACCUGCGGCGCAUUAGCUAGUUGGUGAGAUAACAGCCCACCAAGGCGAGGAUGCGUAGCCGAACUGAGAGGUUGAUCGGCCACA